GUUGAUGUAGCUUAAACACAUUAAAGCAAGGCACUGAAAAUGCCUAGAUGAGUCACCAGACUCCAUAAACA
ensembl:Mt_tRNA